GCCCAUCUUUGCGUGUCUUGGAGUCGGGUUGUUUGGGAUCGCAGCCCAAAGUAGGUGGUAAACUUCAUCUAAGACUGAAUAUGACUACGAGUCCGAUAGCGAACAAGUACCGUGAGGGAAAGUUGCAAAGCACUUUGAAGAGAGAGUUAAAGAGGACGUGAAACCGAUGAGGUGGAAACGGACAGAGCUGGCGUAUCUGGCCUGUAUUCAGCCGUGCGUCCGUUGGCGUCAGGGWUGCCGCUCUCCAGAUUGGGACGGUGGCCUGUCUGCUGGCGGAUGUGUGGUGCAUUUGCAGGUGGAGUGCGCUGAGGCRCUCGGGUCAGCGGCAUGAGCUCAGUGUUGAGGCCAGCCCCUCACGGGGUCUGGUACCCGCAUUGUGGGGAGUGCUGUUUGUCCUGGGUGUGUGGAGGGCAAUGGUUUCGGGUUCGUGUGGGUGCCGAGCUGGCAGUCGGUGGCGGUCGCGUGCGACACGUGCCAGCGGUCAGUUCGGUCCUGCUCGAGCUCUCAUCUGCUCGUCCUCGGUGUAAAAGCCGGUCAUCUGUCCGACCCGUCUUGAAACACGGA
rnacentral:rRNA from 1 species